GCCUCUAUAGCUCAGUGGUAGAGCACUGGUCUCGUAAACCAGGGGUCGUGAGGUCGAUCUUCACUGGAGGCA
rnacentral:tRNA from 1 species